rnacentral:lncRNA from 1 species
ACAUUGAGGUCUUGCCAGCGCUGGGGGAGGAGUCAGAUGUCAGGCCACAGGCAAGCCUAGCCCAAUGCCCAUGCCUCCAUGAUCAUUCACCCCAGAGCCCAAUCAAGCCCACCAGGCCCUCCCUGGGACCCACUUAGACUAAGCUCUCUACUCAUCAGGAUGGUGGCAGCAGAACUGAGUCCCCAGAGAGGUCCUGUGCCCACACUCACACUUGGCCCCAGCCCCUCCCUGCUCCUGCCAGCGCGUGGGCUC